AUUGAACGCUGGCGGCAGGCCUAACACAUGCAAGUCGAGCGGAGCGGCGGACGGGUGAGUAAUGCCUAGGAAGCUGACUGGUAGUGGGGGAUAACGUCCGGAAACGGGAGCUAAUACCGCAUACUAUGAGAUGAGACUAGGUCUGAUUAGCUAGUUGGUGGGGUAAAGGCCUACCAAGGAGACGAUCCGUAACUGGUCUGAGAGGAUGAUCAGUCACACUGGAACUGAGACACGGUCCAGCCUCCUACGGGAGGCAGCAGUGGGGAAUAUUGGACAAGUGGCGAAAGCCUGAUCCAGCCAUGCCGCGUGUGUGAAGAAGGUCUUCGGAUUGUAAAGCACUUUAAGUUGGGAGGCGUUACCAACAGAAUAAGCACCGGCUAACUUCGUGCCAGCAGCCGCGGUAAUUC
rnacentral:rRNA from 1 species